UUAAAACAAAUUCCUGUUGUUGAGCUGUAUACAGAACACUCUAAUAAAGAUAGAAAGUGUCUAAAUAGGCAUUUUUAGCCACUUUGGGUUUUUUUCAAUUUUCAAAUCCUUAUUCGUCUUUGACCCAUUUAUAGUGUCAGACGUAUGCUUUACUUUGAAAAUUCAAAGCUGGCGACAGAGCAUGACACAAGGGAUUUCAGGCUGUGGAUCAGCUUUUAUGUUGAAAUUCAGAAUCUCGAGGGUAUGGGUUCAAGACACCAAGGACAGACCAGACGCAUGAGAGGAGAGUUGUCUUUCGGCACAAUAAUUAUAUUAAAAUAUAAAUUACUGCUCUGUGAGAACAUCUAGGCUCACACUUUACUUGUUUCUACUUCAAAGGCAUUUACUUUAACGUUUUUUUCAAAUCAAGUAAGCAAAAAAACUUUCUGGCAUUUUCAAUCAUCUUCAGUCCAGUUACAGUUUAGCUACUAACUUAUUCCAAAGACAUCAUGUAAGUUUUAAAAGGUCGAAAUUAAUUGAAAGCUUUAACCUGUCUGAAUCUUUUGCACCUCACUGAGACGAAACGUGAUUCUAAGGUUAAAGAGAGCGGAGUUCAACUGUCUGACUGUCCCUGAACGCCUCACGAAGAUUUGAUUGACAGCUCUGCUUCAGCACGUUCAUUCCGUUCUCUGCCUCGACAGGUAAGUCUGAUGAGAGAAGUCUCUCCCUCUCAACACGAACUACUGACGUCACAGCUUCACAUUUGAUGUUUUAAAUUACCCUCCAAUGUUGUUUAGAAACUAAUAACUCAAGCCCAGGUGAAAGGAAGGUUGAAAAUGUUUCAUUCCAGCUUUAAAGACUUUGUUAGCUUGCUUGUUAGCUAGCGGCUCACGCUAACAGUCGCUAACGUCAGUUGAGAGUGACGUAGGCAGUAACGGUCUUUAUCUAAACAGAAGAGGACCUCAGUCUUCAGUCAUAUGUCUGACACUACAGUUCAGAGCAGAGCAUGUUGAUAUGAAUAAAGACUGACACUUCAUGUGUGUGCUUUAGUACAUCCAGUUAUUAUUAAAUAUGACCGUUUCAACGUCCUGACCAUAGACUUGACAGAUAAGAACCACCACACAGCAGUAAGACGCCAUCUUAUUGGCUGUGUCUUCCCGCCACUGUGACGCGUCCUGCUCUCUGUUAACAGGGUAGAAAGUUAAUAAAUUAAAGGGUGAUGAAAACACAAUAGUUGAGGAAGAAUAUGUUUUAUUUUGUGAGUUUCAAUUUAUGUAAUGUACUGUAUGAAGCUCUGUAUUGUCACACAACUAAAAUGUUUUCUCUCCCUCUCCUCCCUCUCAUCAUUCCUCACGGCUCUCUCCCUCCUCUCACAUUUGGCUGAUCAUCACGGGCUCCUCAUCCAACAAAGAACUUGGAAAUUGCAAGAAAACACACAAGUUAAUACUAAACUGAUAUUUCAUGGCUUUAUAUUGACUGAAUCAUGUCUCACUGCAUGAACAGGACGUUAUAAUAUAAUGAAGUAAACAGUCGUAGUAUUUGUCAUGUCUCAUAACAUUUUAAUUUGUAAACAUAUUUACUCUUAGAUUUCUGAGUGUUUUCAAAAGUAUAAUGUAAUGUAGCUGUGGUAAUGUAACUUUAGUAUUUAUGUGUCCCUUUUUGAGACUAAUAAGAAAUUAGGAAAAAUCUGAUAUUUACCCUGACAAACAUUUUAGAUAGAAAUGAUCUUUGAGAUGUUCCUGAAAUAAGACUGAAGAUCUCUCUCUCUCUCUGCCUGCCUGCCUGCCUGCCUGCCUGC